rnacentral:rRNA from 1 species
UCUCAGUUCGGAUUGGAGUCUGCAACUCGACUCCAUGAAGCUGGAUUCGCUAGUAAUCGCGCAUCAGCCAUGGCGCGGUGAAUACGUUCCCGGGCCUUGUACACACCGCCCGUCAAGCCAUGGGAGCCGGGGGUGCCUGAAGUACGUGACCGCGAGGAGCGUCCUAGGACAAAACUGGUGACUGGGGCUAAGUCGUAACAAGGUAGC